rnacentral:rRNA from 1 species
GACAGCGGAGGGACCAUUACAGAGUUGCAAAACUCCAACAAACCAUCGCGAAUCUUACCCGUACGGUUGCCUCGGCGCUGGCGGUCCGGAAGGCCCUCGGGCCCCCGGAUCCUCGGGUCUCCCGCUCGCGGGAGGCUGCCCGCCGGAGUGCCGAAACCAAACUCUUGAUAUUUUAUGUCUCUCUGAGUAAACUUUUAAAUAAGUCAAAACUUUCAACAACGGAUCUCUUGGUUCUGGCAUCGAUGAAGAACGCAGCGAAAUGCGAUAAGUAAUGUGAAUUGCAGAAUUCAGUGAAUCAUCGAAUCUUUGAACGCACAUUGCGCUCGCCAGUAUUCUGGCGAGCAUGCCUGUUCGAGCGUCAUUUCAACCAUCAAGCUCUGCUUGCGUUGGGGAUCCGCGUCUGACGCGGUCCCUCAAAAACAGUGGCGGGCUCGCUAGUCACACCGAGCGUAGUAACUCUACAUCGCUAUGGUCGUGCGGCGGGUUCUUGCCGUAAAACCCCCAAUUUCUAAGGUUGACCUCGGAUCAGGUAGGAAUACCCGCUGAACUUAAGCAUAUCAAUAAGCGGAGGA